AGGAUCCCAGCUGACCUAUGGCACGGUGUGAACAGGUUACAUGUGGUACAGCAUGAUAGUGGAAUAUGCUGCAUCACGUGUAACCUCCCCACACUGCACUGUGUCUCUCUGUC